GGGCCAUAGCUCAGUGUCAGAGCAUCUACCUUGGAAGCAGAAGGUCCCAGGUUCAAUCCCCAGCAUCUCCA